UUUAUUGGAGAGUUUGAUCCUGGCUCAGGAUGAACGCUGGCGGCGUGCCUAAUACAUGCAAGUCGAGCGAAUGGAUUGAGAGCUU
rnacentral:rRNA from 2 species